rnacentral:lncRNA from 1 species
CCACAAGGAUCUUGAGAUAGAAGAUGUAUACAAAGUUAUCAAGAAGAUGGCAGGUAGUCACGAACAACGGCUCCAUAGUCAUGUAAACAUUGAGGCCAUCCAGCUCCUCGACAAUACUGGGCUAGAAAGAAGACUCAAACGAAGAAAACCAUUUAGUUAGUGUAAAGUGUUAGUGUAAAAGCAGAGCAUAGUGUUGUAUUGUGUGUUAGUUUUAGUUUUAAAAUUUCAUACUUGUUAAAAAAAUAAGAGGAUACCAUAGGGUUAAGAUCUUAGAUUAUGUAUCAUAUAGUAAUAUAAGUUCAA